rnacentral:antisense_RNA from 3 species
CUUGAGCGUUCCCAGCCACAGCGGAUGCCCGGGCGGUCGGCCCUGGCCGUAGGUGGCCAGCAGGGCGUGCGCCUC